GUGCCAGCAGCCGCGGUAAUACGAGGGGGGCUAGUGUUGUUCGGAAUCACUGGGCGUAAAGGGAGCGUAGGCGGGAGCCUAAGUUGGGUGUUUAAUUCCGGGGCCCAACCCCGGGCGUGCACUCAAAACUGGGUUUCUUGAAUAGGGGAGAGGUCGAUGGAAUUGGAGGUGUAGCGGUGGAAUGCGUAGAGAUCUCCAAGAACACCGGUUGCGAAGGCGGUCGACUGGACCCAUAUUGACGCUGAGGCUCGAAAGCGUGGGGAGCAAACAGGAUUAGAAACCCGGGUAGUCC
rnacentral:rRNA from 1 species